AUUGAACGCUGGCGGCAUGCCUUACACAUGCAAGUCGAACGGCAGCACGGGUGCUUGCACCUGGUGGCGAGUGGCGAACGGGUGAGUAAUACAUCGGAACGUACCUUAUCGUGGGGGAUAACGCAGCGAAAGCUGUGCUAAUACCGCAUACGCCCUGAGGGGGAAAGCGGGGGAUCGCAAGACCUCGCGCGAUUAGAGCGGCCGAUGCCUGAUUAGCUUGUUGGUGGGGUAAAAGCCCACCAAGGCGACGAUCAGUAGCUGGUCUGAGAGGACGGUCAGGCACACUGGGACUGAGACACGGCCCAGACUCCUACGGGAGGCAGCAGUGGGGAAUUUUGGACAAUGGGGGCAGCCCUGAUCCAGCAAUGCCGCGUGAGUGAAGAAGGCCUUCGGGUUGUAAAGCUCUUUUGUCAGGGAAGAAACACCGGCUCUAACACAGUCCGGGAAUGACGGUACCUGAAGAAUAAGCACCGGCUAACUACGUGCCAGCCGCCGCAGUAA
rnacentral:rRNA from 1 species